UGGGGAAUAUUGGACAAUGGGGGCAACCCUGAUCCAGCAAUGCCGCGUGAGUGAAGAAGGCCUUCGGGUUGUAAAGCUCUUUUGUCAGGGAAGAAACGGUAGUAGCGAAUAACUACUACUAAUGACGGUACCUGAAGAAUAAGCACCGGCUAACUACGUGCCAGCAGCCGCGGUAAUACGUAGGGUGCAAGCGUUAAUCGGAAUUACUGGGCGUAAAGCGUGCGCAGGCGGUUGUGUAAGUCAGAUGUGAAAUCCCCGGGCUCAACCUGGGAAUUGCAUUUGAGACUGCACGGCUAGAGUGUGUCAGAGGGGGGUAGAAUUCCACGUGUAGCAGUGAAAUGCGUAGAUAUGUGGAGGAAUACCGAUGGCGAAGGCAGCCCCCUGGGAUAACACUGACGCUCAUGCACGAAAGCGUGGGGAGCAAACAGGAUUAGAUACCCCGGUAGUCCCUGAGCGGGCUGGCAAGGCGCAU
rnacentral:rRNA from 1 species